rnacentral:lncRNA from 1 species
CAGGUAGGGCCACGGCAGCAGGGCCGGGGUGUAAGGAGGGCAGGUCAUUGCCAGGAGAGCCCUGCAGCCCCCUGUGCCGCUGCCUGCCCGGGUCUGCGCUGCUCCUCCUCCUGCAGCCCUGGGUCCCUCAGGCUGUUUUGUUCCCUGCAGAGCUCCAGCCCUACGAAAACUCGGACCACUACUGUGUGAUCAAGGAGAGGUUUCUGGCCGAAGAAGAAGCAGGAUGCCCGAAGCCGGAGUGGGACUCAAGCCUCCGCUUUGUCCCAGAGAAGACAUCUUAUGAUGACGGGGAGGAGCUGACACUGAGCUGCCUCACUGAGGAUGAUCCUCCUCUCGCUGUGAUCAGAUGUGUUGCAUGGUUCGGCUGGGGACAUGCCUGGGAGGUGAAGGACAAGCAGGGAAGGUGGCAUCGCAUUGAAAUGUACCAGGCCUGCACAGGAACAUGCCAGAAACCCCAGUGGGACAAAAGGAUCCUGCUUGUCCCAAGGAAAGACAACUACACACCAAAUGAGGAACUGAGGCUGUUUUGCCCUGGAAUAGUCAAGCCCUCCUUCACCCACGCCAAAUGCGUGAGGGAAUUUCAAGGAGUGACUUCAGGAAGACCUGACUAUGGGGACAGCUGGUGGGGGAGGAGAGGCAGAGGCUGGACCCGCAUUGAGGAGCCCAUAGCGUGCGUGGUAAAAUGCACGAGGCCCCAAUGGGACGCUGACAUUCGUCUGGCACCAGAGCGCAACGUCUAUAAGGAGGGUGAAGAAGUGAGGCUGAGCUGCCCGGAGGGUUUCCAGCCCCCCUUCCAGCAGGCUAAAUGUACACAUCUAGAUGUGUAUCCCGGAGGGUUUCCAGCCCCCCUUCCAGCAGGCUAAAUG